CCUAAAAAGGAAUCUCCUCCUUGCACCAAAUUGUAUGUUGUUCUUAAGGAUGCGACAGCCACAAAAACGUUCCCAACGGUUGCAGAGGUUGAAUGCAAGGGAGAGGAGAAGUUUAAUAUCGAUUUAAUGGCUCCUCCACCUCUGAAAUCA